UGGACUAUUUUGUGUAUGUCCAUUAAAUAAAAAUCCAUUUAAAUUACAGGUUGUAAUGGUACAAAAUAGGACAAACUCCAAGGGGGUGAAUACUUUUGCAAGGGACUGUAUGUGUCACCUCAUGCUGGGGUGUGAAAAUGGCAAAGCCAACUAAAUUCACCCCUCCACCAAAACCUGUCAUCAUUGACAAAACACAGUCCGAGGCUUCACUUGCAAAAGUUCCUGAGUCCAGAAUUCAUCCUUCCCGACAGAGAAUAAAUCCACUGAAGUUCUCCAUCGAGCGCAAAGACAUGAUCCAGCGGAGGUUUAUUUUGGUGCCCUUCUUUGCGAAGCAUUGGAAAACCUCCCUGAUCUAUGUGGUUGAAUCUGUGACGAUUUCUUCCGAAGUCGGUUACUCUCCUUGUUCGGGCGGUGUUCGGCAGUCGAAGUCACCGGUCUUCCAGCCAUCAUCAAUCUAUUUUUCAUGUUCCAUUUGUUUUGUCUGGUUGUCGCACUUACCUGGCUUCAAUUCCCUAAUUACAUGUUGUAUAU